rnacentral:rRNA from 1 species
AACGAGCGCUGGCGGCAUGCCUAACACAUGCAAGUCGAACGAGACCUUCGGGUCUAGUGGCGCGCGGGUGCGUAACGCGUGGGAACCUGCCCUUAGGUUCGGAAUAACUCCCCGAAAGGGGUGCUAAUACCGGAUAAUGUCUUCGGACCAAAGAUUUAUCGCCUUUGGAUGGGCCCGCGUUGGAUUAGCUAGUUGGUAGGGUAAAAGCCUACCAAGGCGACGAUCCAUAGCUGGUCUGAGAGGAUGAUCAGCCACACUGGGACUGAGACACGGCCCAGACUCCUACGGGAGGCAGCAGUGGGGAAUAUUGGACAAUGGGCGAAAGCCUGAUCCAGCAAUGCCGCGUGAGUGAUGAAGGCCUUAGGGUUGUAAAGCUCUUUUACCCGGGAUGAUAAUGACAGUACCGGGAGAAUAAGCUCCGGCUAACUCCGUG